CUUCCCCCUCCCCUGUGAUACAAAGCACCAUGAAUGUCAACAACUGGAAAGUUGCUUAAAAUCACUUAAAAAAAAAAAAAAUUCUCAGCAUUCUCCCGAUCAGUUCAUCACAGCCCGUGUUCAUGAAGACUGUUGUUAAAUGCAACCCUGCAGCGGGGAGUGAGGUAUUUUUAGACCCAACAGAGCAUACGUCUGGGUAAAAACACCAGCACAGGCACUGUGUAAGGCAGAUGGUCACCAUCCCAGCAUGGGAUGAUUCUGCCUUUAGGAUUAAGAUCCCAGGAAGCACCCAUAUCGCCUCUGCUGAUCUGGGAAUGGCGGAUGCCACAGCUCAGACCAGGCGAGGGAAGCUGAGGCUCUGCUCCAUCUCCCUGGGGUUGCUGAGCCCCAAAGAGGCUGCCCGCAGUGAUCCUGAGAUGUUCUGUGAGAUACCUGAAAUAGCAGUAAGUACUUCUGCUAUUUUUCAGUACCUCACAUUUGCUGAGUACUGAACAACAUGGCUGAUGUGAUGUUAUCUGCCUAGAUUCAGUAGACUUAUGACAAGCCAGCAUCUAACCCCGGGUUGUGAGCUGUUUUAUAUAGUCAUUAAACAGAGGCAGAUAUUCCAAGGAAGUAGUGGACUUUCUGACUGAGGGCAGAGCAGAUACAUGACUGUUGAGCUGCCUUCCUGUUUCUCACAACUAUAGAGUUUGGGUAAUCAGGCUAGACUGGACAGCAACUUUGAUCUUGACCAGUCUGUCAAUAUGUCAGCAUCCUGAUGUCCUACGUAUGUUACAUGGAAUCAGGAUAAUAGCAGAAGUAGUCUUGGAGUCCACUGGUAAAGAUGAUAAGGUAUGUUUGGAUGCAGGAAUACCAGGCUGUUGUCCUGGCUGGGGAACUCCUUCGAAAUCCAUCCCUAUCUUCUCUCUGCUGGUAGCAUCUCACCACAGACCCUUCAUACCUUCCCCCUGAAAAAAAAUCUUUACCUCUCUGAAUCUGUUACAGAACAAGGACCAUAGUCUAUUACAUUCCUUAUUCUUUCUCAUGCUGCUGAGUAGAACUUCUGCAGAGAAGGUGUCAAGUAUCCAACAUAGCUAAAUAAGCCAACCAGUAAAACUACCAGUUUUGCAGGUACGUUUAUGAGGUCCUUCCAAUUUCAAGAUAGAUUUUGAUUUCUCUGCAUAGUGGAGAGUGAGCAGCAGAUCCAGUCAGUAGACAAAAGGUCACCAGCAUGUGAAAUUCUUUGGAGGCUGUUUUGUCCACAUAAAAAAAAAAAAAAAAAUCCUUGGCUUGCAAUCACCAAGAUGUAAGUUAAUUCCCCUUGAACAUGUAAAAGGGUUAUUAAGCUUGGGUGUGAUCUAUCUCUGAAGGGACAGGCACAUAGAAUUCAGGCAUUGUGAUAAGAAUCUGGCCCUUAAUCCUUUGCAAAAACCAGUGUCUAGUAGAAAUAAUUCAGGAAAACACUGUGUCAGUCUGCUUCACUGUCAUCUUGGUAACUACCUUUGAUCCUUAAAUAUACAAGCCAGCAAGAAAACAUUGCCUCCGCUUCUUCCUCUCAUAAAAUGUUUGGAUAUAAUGUUGGUAGCAACUUUACUGUGUCUGACACCUCAUUUUCUAAACUGCUGUCAAGCUAUUCAAAAGCACACGGUUGUAAGUAAAUAAAAUUUGUGAUCCACAAGUGUAUUUCACAAGUACAUUUUGUGCACUUCGUCUGCAUGUAAAUUAUGAACAUUACAGUGCUGAUAGAAGCAUGCACUGUCAUCCUUCUGUGACAAUAUUAACUAUAAUAAAUACAUUCAUAGCUGCUGACAGUUCCUCUUUCAGCAUUUGUGGAGUAACUUUAAGACUUAAAGUUUUAGAAGCAAUAUCUUCAGAAGUUGCCACAAUGUUCUGUAGCACUUUUAAAGCAAUUUUCAUUUAAUUUCAUGGCAGGAAUUAGAGGAAACCAAAGUGAACAGGUAUUCAUUAGAUCUGAGAAUAAAAUUUCCUCUGACAUAUCAGGUGGGUUCUUUACAUAAGAUGGCUUCUAUUUAAGGCAUACGUGGUAAGAAUCAUAGUAGUUUACAAAAUAAGAAGUAGGCUUUGCUUAAACUGUAGUCGCACAUGAAAUCAGCACUUUAAAAACAUCUUGAAAAUCAUAUUUCAUUUAAUGCAACAUAAUAGGGAAUCUGUGCAGAGGGUCAAAGUAAUUAUUAACUUGCCAUAUUUCUAUGAGACAAAUAACCUACUUUCUCCUGUACCUGUUCAGUGUAAAGUUCAUAAACGGCCCAAGAGGAAAAAAAAAGAAAAACAUAAAUGUCAUCCCUGCCUAUAUAAUGCAAGUCAGGAGGAAGAUACCAAGGGAAAGAAUGAAUUUUUGAAAAGAUCGGAAAGUAGCAAAUGAAGAAUUUAAAAUACUCUUCUUAGGUUUCAACAACUAUAACAACUUCAUUUAGAAAAUCAGUUCCUUUUGCUAAAUGAUAGUGAUGCACUGUAUUGUGAAUAUGAUCUGUAGAGACCAAACAUUUAAUUGGAACUAAAUCACAGCUAUUGCAAAAUAUGUAAAUAGAUGGAUACAUGCUUUGCAUUAAUAUAGAAAGUGCAUUUUAACAUCAACAAUCUUAAAGUAUAAAUAAAUUGUCAUGUUAAAAAAGAAAUACAAAUCUUAUUCUCUUAUAUCUCUGAUUCCUACUAGCACUUUUAGUUUAUAAAGACAUUGUUAAUUUCUUUAGAGUAGUACGGAUGUUUUCAUAUAUUAUAACUCCCAAAUUCAUAAGUUUAUUGUGCGCCUCAUUUGCAGUAGUCUUCUCUCUUUCAUUUUUUACAACUAAGAAUAAUGUUAUGCACAUUUUCACCAUUUCAGCCACUUAUUUUAUAGAUGAAUAUUGCCAACCAAGACAGAGAUAUUUUUGUCUUUUUUCCCCCCCAGUUUUUAACCAAAUUCUCUCCAAGGCUAUGGGGAUUUUGAUCAUACACAAUCUUUGUCAAUGUGUAAGGGUUGGAUUUUUAAGAAUUAAAGACCUUUUUUUGAAAGUUGACAUUUUCUUGAAUGUCCAUUAGUCUCUUUUUGACUUAUAUUUGUUCUUCAAAGUUUUUUUUGAAACAAAAAAUAGUUAAUACUUGAGAAUAAGUUUUGGAGAACAUCUAUCUUUUUUGCCAGGCCUGUCUCCCUUUUACCAGACAGUGUCUUUGUCAUAAAUAGAAUAGUAAUUAGGGGUUUUGUUUGUCUUCUCCUACAUGAGUUUAUUUUUUUUAAGCUGCCAGACUGAUCUACAGUAUUAUUAAAUUCUUCAAUCUACCCAGCUAAUGCUUCCCUUUAUUUUAUUUUUAAUAGGAAAGUGAGGUAACAUCUGCUAUCACAUGAAACCAUUCUUCUCUGAUUAUAGGUUUUCCACUAAUGUUAAAUGUGAUUCUGGUUUGGUAUGUUGGACCCUCCAGUUCCAGGCACAAAGCUCCUAAUAUCUUCCCAAAAUCCAAACAAAUAAAAGCACUGAAGCACUACAGGCCUUAUAAGUAUCUGAGUGGAUGAUCUGGAGAUGGAGGGUUUUACUUCCUUGCAAUGUGCCACAGCUCAGCCCCAAAUCAUUGUGUGAAAUAUCAGGGUCAGUGAAAUUGAAUGGCAUCAGGUUGGCUUUAGGUAACAGAAAUAUUUUGUUGUUCAGAUUUUUAGUUUACGCUUCCUGUGAGUUUGGGCUUUUGCUGUUAUUUGCUAUUUCAAGAUGUGUAGAUAUACAUUUGUACACCUGUAGAUGUACGCAGUUACUCUGUUCUGUUCCUUUGCCUAAUUUACAAGUACAGAAUCAAUUUCAUCCAUCUGUAGUUUUAGAAUCAGCAGCUGGCUUUUUUGUGUGAUCCCAAUAUAUAGGUUUCCCAGAAGAAUGUAUUAGUAGAUAUUUCUAAACGUGGCUGUGAUCCCAUCCUUCUUCUGUAUUCACAUGUGUAAGCUAGGCUCAUUAGGGAUGGACUGAAAAUCUCUCUGUGAGUUAUUAUUUUUAUUUUUAAUUUUCCAAACACCUGAGCAAGCAGAUCUUUCAGGUAUUUGUAGCUCAUGUUGUAGCAUUUAGCCCAAGAUUGCAAAACACGGAGCUGAGCAUUGCUUAUUUGAACUGACAUUAACACUUGUUAAAGAGGUUUUCUUGAAAGCCGAAGUCAGCAUUGCAGUCAAAAGCCAAAUCUACAAACUGUAUGUUAUCACUGCUUAAAUAUAGAGAGAGACAUUACCAAUGGUAGAUAUUUAACAACAAACCUUGCUCUUACCAAGUCAUACUGUGUACUAAGUCUAUAUAGUGUAUUUCUAAAUGGCAUCGUGUUUUAAGAAAUGAAAUGGGUCAGUUUUGUAUUACAAGAUGCUCAUGCUGUGGAGCCUCAUUAGUAGCCUCACUGAACUAAUAUGGGGACAGCUUGCUGUGGAUUGCUCCAUUUUGCUAAUGGCAUCAAAAUGAAGCUUAGCCCCUACCUCUGCUAUGGAAACAAUGACUGAAAAAGGGCCCAGGCUGUAAUUAAGACAUCCUCUUCUUCCCAAAAUGAGGUGGAGCAGGAAAGGAAAGACAUAGUUCAUAACUCUGCCUCUAUGACACCAACAAGCAGAGCUUCGUCUUCCAGAAGGCAUCUUGGUGCAGUCAACAAGUACCAGCUGUGUCACCGCGGUCUCUGCAUGAGCAAACAAUUACAGGACAGAGCCACACCUGGAUUUGUGCCUGCAAGUGAGGCUGCUCAGACAGACCACAUGACUGAUCCAACAAAGAUGGCUUCACACCACAAAUGGAAGAGCUUUAUUAUUCAGCAGAUUCAAAGCACUGCCAAAGAAUUUUGAAGGCUACACCCCUACUAGAGAUGAAGAUUGUUCAGAGUACCUAUUUUUUCUUCACAACAGAAUACUGUAUGCAGAAUCCAGUAUAGUGAAGCAGUGAAAUCUUAUUUGUGUGAGUUCUUCCUACAGAAAUACACAAGUAAAUAACCCCCAAGAGGAUCUUAUUCUUUUAUUCUUCUAUUCUUUAAUUCUUUGCUUUGGGGGAGUUAUUGGAUUUACUGAAUAAUCAAUUAAGAAUUAGUUUACUUUUAGUAUUAAAAAGGUUAUUUAAAUCUUCUUUGUGAAGAAUUUAUUCAAUAAACUCUAUUGUUUUACAACUUUCAGAUUUUCCACUACAGAGAUCAGAUUUUUGAUAACUUGAUGGAUUAUUAAAAAUUACUUCACUGGAGAAGGGAAGGCUGAGAGAAGACUUCAUUGCAACCUCCCAGUAUUUAAAAGCUGUUGGAAGUGAUGGUGGGGCUGCUGCGCAGCAGCUCAUGGCAUAUGAACAUGGCAAAGACUUGGGUACCAGACCAGCCAACUGUCCAGGUCUCUGGGCACAUCUGCAGAGGUGUGGUGGGUCUGAGGCCAAGCAGGAAGCAAGAUCAGUGGAUCGGGAUCAUGCCUGAUAGCAGCUAAGGACAGCCACCAUCUGCUGGUCUUACCAGGAAAUCAUGAUCUGAAUGGAUGAGCAGCCAGAGCAGUGAAGAACUGUUUGGAUGACUAGUUUGAGAGUGUAGUCCUCUGUGGAAGCUGGCAACUGUCAGGAUCUGUGCUGGGACCUGUCCCACUUUACAACUUUACCAGUGACCUGGAAGGGAUUAUGCACUCGCAGAAAUUUGUCAGAUGCUACCAAACUGGAAGUGACCAGCAGAUGAGCUGGAAGGCAAUGCUCCAUUCAUCAGACACCUAGACACGUUGCGAAAAUGUGCUUAUGGGAACUUCAUUAAACUCAAUGAGAACAAAUGCAAACUCCUGACCCUAAAAAGGAAGACUCCCUGGCAGUGAUAGAGACUGGGAAGCAGCAGUUCCAGGGAGAAGGCUCUGCGGGACAGUGAUAUGAACGCUUGUAGCAGGGAAGCCAGAAAAUCCAGAUCAGUGUUAACAGGAGCUCAGUAGGUCAAGAGAAGUGAUUAUCCCCAGCUUUACUUAGCACUCGUUAGAUCACAUCUAAACACUGCGUGCAGUUUUGGGCUCCCCUGUACAGGAAGGACAUUGUUAAUCUGAGAUGAAAUCAGUGGAAGGCCACCAAGAUGUCUAAGGCUGAAGCACUUUCCAAAUGGAGAAAGGUUGAGGGAGCAAGUCUUGUUCAGCCUGGAGAACAGACAGUUUCCAGGGCACCAACGGCAGACCCCAGUGCCUAUAGGGAGGUGAACAAGGAGAUACAGCCAGGCCCCUUACAGCAGUGCAUGGGGAUUUUUGAGACAGUGGCACAAACUGGAACAAAGUAGAUCAGACUGGAUAUAAGGAAGAGUUUUUCCCUAUGAGGCAGUAGAACAGGUUGCCAAGAGAGGUUGCAGUCUUUCCAUCCUCGAUGACCUUCAUCAAAGGAGUUGGACUAGAUGACUUUUAAGGGUCCCUUCCAACUCAAAUGAUUCUGUGAUUCAUGACCUGGCUGGACAAAGCCCUGAUGAACCUGUUUUGACCUCAGUGAGCAAGAUGUUGGAAUGGAGAUUUACUGAGGUCCCUCCUAGCCUGAAGUAUCCUGUGUGUUUAUGACCUAUAUAUUAUGAUCUUAGUCACCUUGGGCUCCCUUUAUGAUUAACAACAUUUCUAGAAUGUGAUUAAUUUGACCUAAUUAUAAGAGGAAUGUUGUCGUACAACUGCCUGUUUCUUCACUAUGAAGAUAGUACAGACAGUUCAGAUCUAACUAUCAAUAUAUGAAGUACUAAAAUUAGGUCAGAUUUUCCACCAAAAUAUGAGGAAGCGCUUUACUGUGUGAGUGUUGGGACACUGGCACAGGUUGCCCGGGGAGUUUGUGGCGUCUCUUCCUUGGAGAUCUUCGGAAGCUGCCUGCAUAUAGAAUCAUAGAAUGAGAAUCAUGUGAUCCUGGGCAGCCUGCUCUAGUUGUCCCUACUUUAGCAGGCGUUGGACCAGAAGGACCCAGAAGUCCCUGCCAGCCUCAGCCAUUCUUUGACUCUCAUUUGGUGGAUCCUACCCUAAGCGUCUGUUCCCAGCUCUCUGAAGCUAGAUAUGAGAGAGGAAGAAAGAAGAUAUUUCUGUGUAGUGCCAUAGCAGCUAUAGCAUUUUCCCAAAAAGAAAGUUAUCUGAAAUAUGGACUCCUCCAAUUUUUAUUUUUUAAUCUGAAACCGCAUUGCUACAAAACUAAUACAUAUCCAUAGUAUGGAUUUCUGCA